GAUGAACGCUGGCGGCGUGCCUAAUACAUGCAAGUCGAGCGAACAGACGAGGAGCUUGCUCCUUCGACGUUAGCGGCGGACGGGUGAGUAACACGUAGGUAACCUACCUAUAAGACUGGGAUAACUUCGGGAAACCGGAGCUAAUACCGGAUAAUAUUUCGAACCGCAUGGUUCGAUAGUGAAAGAUGGCUUUGCUAUCACUUAUAGAUGGACCUGCGCCGUAUUAGCUAGUUGGUAAGGUAACGGCUUACCAAGGCAACGAUACGUAGCCGACCUGAGAGGGUGAUCGGCCACACUGGAACUGAGACACGGUCCAGACUCCUACGGGAGGCAGCAGUAGGGAAUCUUCCGCAAUGGGCGAAAGCCUGACGGAGCAACGCCGCGUGAGUGAUGAAGGUCUUCGGAUCGUAAAACUCUGUUAUUAGGGAAGAACAAACGUGUAAGUAACUGUGCACGUCUUGACGGUACCUAAUCAGAAAGCCACGGCAAACUACGUG
rnacentral:rRNA from 1 species